rnacentral:rRNA from 1 species
CCUACGGGUGGCAGCAGUGGGGAAUAUUGCACAAUGGGGGAAACCCUGAUGCAGCAACGCCGCGUGAGCGAUGAAGGCCUUCGGGUCGUAAAGCUCUGUCCUAAGGGAAGAAUACUGACGGUACCUUAGGAGGAAGCCCCGGCUAACUACGUGCCAGCAGCCGCGGUAAUACGUAGGGGGCUAGCGUUAUCCGGAAUUACUGGGCGUAAAGGGUGCGUAGGCGGCCCUUCAAGUCAGAGGUGAAAGGCUACGGCUCAACCGAGGUCAGCUCUUGAAACUGUAGGGCUUGAGUGCAGGAGAGGGGAGCGGAAUUCCUAGUGUAGCGGUGAAAUGCGUAGAUAUUAGGGGGAACACCAGUGGCGAAGGCGGCUCUCUGGACUGCAACUGACGCUGAGGCACGAAAGCGUGGGGAGCGAACAGGAUUAGAUACCCUUGUAGUC